rnacentral:rRNA from 1 species
UACGAAGGGUGCAAGCGUUACUCGGAAUUACUGGGCGUAAAGCGUGCGUAGGUGGUGAGUUAAGUCUGUCGUGAAAGCCCCGGGCUCAACCUGGGAAUGGCGAUGGAUACUGGCUCGCUAGAGUGCGGUAGAGGAGAGUGGAAUUCCCGGUGUAGCAGUGAAAUGCGUAGAGAUCGGGAGGAACAUCAGUUGCGAAGGCGGCUCUCUGGACCAGCAAUGACACUGAGGCACGAAAGCGUGGGGAGCAAACAGG